rnacentral:tRNA from 1 species
GUGGAUGUGCUUAGGAGUGGUUAUCGGGCAUGACUAGAAAUCAUGUGGGUUCUACCGCGCAGGUUCGAAUCCCGCCAUUCACG